rnacentral:lncRNA from 1 species
CAUAAACAUCAUAACAUAAGAUCAUGUAUAGACAAAAGGGAUUAACAAUACAUUAUGGUCAAGCACAACUCUAUCCUCAAUAACCUCAUUACAUAACAUUCUGAAUAUUUUUACAUUACAUCAUAGUACAAUCGUCAUGUCCACAAUCUAGCUAUUACAACAUAGGACAUACUUUCAAACUCUGACUAACCUUCUGAUCUACCCUGUACCUGCACAUCUGGGGUUAGGGGAGAGGGGUGAGCUACAAAGCCCAGUGAGCAGAAUAGUAUAAAACAUUAUAUUAAAAUUUUAUGCUUUCAUGGAAUGCAACACAUCACAACAAAUCACAUCUCGGAUGGUAUUGUCACCUAUAGUCCUCUACAUAGGUCCAACUGUGCCGGGACGUAGAAUGGGUCAACCGGUCUUUCCCUUAUCAUAACAUAUCAUAUGGACCAACUGUGCCAGGGACGUAGAAUGGGUACAACCUGGACUUUCUCUUACAUCAUGCCAGGGACGUAGAAUGGGUACAACCUGGACUUCCAUACCAUAACAUGCCAUAACAUCAAUCAUAUCAUAUGAGGACUAAAGGAUCAUCCAAUAACCAAUCCACAUCAACAUUAACAUCAUAAAUGCAAUGCAACAUAUUCGUGAAUACUAAUGCAAGCAACCUAUUAUAUCUCAUGGCAUUCAUGAUGCAUGUAUCAUGCUCAAAAUUUAUAUUUCAUUUAUUUAAAACUUAAGGUUUAUUCCACUCACCUCUGGCUAGCUCUGACAAACUCUGUAGCAGCUGGCUCACUGCUGGGGUCCUCGGUUCCUCGGGUCCGAACCUACACAGGUGGACUCCAAUGAGGGACCAAACAUACAUGAACAUAACUCUAAUAUACUCCCCAAAAACCUCCUAAAACAUCAUGAAACAAUCACAUAACAACAUGCAAGAAAUGGCUGGACAGGGCACUUUCGGCGGCAGAUUCGGCGGCCGAAAGUCCCUCCAGAGCCGAAAGUCAGGCAGGUUCGGUGGCACCUUCGGCGGCCGAAACUCCCAGACAGAGACGAAACUCAUGCAUGUUCGGCGGCAC